UUGUGGGACUCAUUAAAUUUAUUACAAUGAUCAUACAAAGUCAAAUUUGUCCGAUCAUUGGUAGAGAACAAAAAAUUGAGAACGCCAAUAUAGUGUUUUCUAUUUUCCUUCACGAGUUUUAAUAAAUGAAAAUGAUUCAUUUCUAGUUAUUGUAACGUUUUCUAAAAAUAUGAGUCCACUAAACAAGUUUUAUUCAUUUUCCUUUUCACAAAAUGAAAAAUAACAAAUUGAAAGCGUUACCAAACGCAACCUAAGUUUUUUUAUAGGAUUUUUUCGUAGUAAUUCCAAUUAAUUCUUUGUCACAAAUUAACAAUCUUGUAUGAUUACUGUCUUUGUCUUAGGGAAAUAAGCCAUUUUAAACAGCAAGCAAAGCUGACAUUGACCCCAAACUCGGCUAAUGUUACACAUCUUUCCCUGUACUUGUUGCGAGAUUAUUUUAUGAUCCAUUCCGUGAUCUUCCUCUUCCAUAAAUGCUUCCAAAAGAACCAUCAAUGUAUACUGAAUUGCACUGCUGACUACGACAAUGUAUGAUUGCAAAUUUGGGCUGCAAGUUGGAUCUCAUUUUUUUCUUUUU
rnacentral:lncRNA from 1 species